AUGUUAAUACGUUCUAAUCUAAGCGUACGACGUAGUGACAUGGAAUUGGAACUGGAACUACUGGAAGUCAUCCAUGAUGGAUCGAAUCGAAGUAAAGUGAAGUGAGAACUGAGAAGUGACCACUUGACCAGUUCCAGUUAAUUUUCAAUUUUUCUAAAGAAUUUUCUUUUCUGUUUAUUUUGCGGUAAAGUUCAGUUGCACUUGAAAUGUUGACCAAGAAUAAUUUUCUACUGACUACCGCAUGCCGAUGUCGCUAUUUAACGGGCAGCGUUUCUUACCGUGUUGAAAAAAUUCUACUUUUUACUUUGGGUUGUUGAAAGUACUUGGAGUUAAAUCGAAGCGAGUCCCCAGAGCGAAGAUGGUUUUGGGUCGAAUAAUGCUCUAUAUUGAUGAAAGAUGAAUUCUACUCGUUAUACCCAUCCGUAGACGUUUCAGAAAAGCCCUGGAAUUGUUACCAAUGUGCAUAAUUCUCAUAAAUGAGCGGACACCCUGAAUGUAUAGAACCCACCAAAAAAACCGAAUAGUGACGUGUAUACCUUCGAUAAAUAAUUGCUUAAGAUGAACCUGUUGAGAAUAAGGUAUAUUCAGAUGGCGGUAUUUGCCCAAAACCAGCCACAAAUGGUGUCUUGUACGAUGGCGUAUAUGAAAUAUCCAUCUUGAAGUUGGCUAAUUAUACCGAUAUCUUGACGAUGCCCAAAAACAACUCCGAGGCUUUUGAAAUUCAAGUUUCCAGUUUGGAACUGGUGCAGGAGAUCCAUCAGUUCCUUAUGAAUGUAGAAGAUACGUGUCACAGGACGUGCUAGAGUAUCGAAGGACUCAAAAAAGGUCAAGGUGAAUAUCUUUCAUCUUAAGGGGAUCUAAACGGGCGUUUGUUCGUUCAGUCGGUUAUCUUUUGCCUUUUGGGUAAUUAUCUACUAUUUUUUUCCCUAAUCGAUCGAUUAACAUUUAAUUGGUGGUAGAAGAACCUUUUGCCAUGCAGCCGUAAGUCGAGCCGAUGAAUCAGCAGCUGAACGAGUUCCUUAUUCAGAAAAAUAACUGGUUAUUUUGCUCCUACAGGUUUUAACCACAUCCAGAUAAAAUCCUUCACCCGGUUUUAGAAAAAUGCACCGAGAUUUAAUCAUAUUACCGCCUGUACCCGCGGAUUUUUCGUUAAUUAGUACGCGUAAUCACACGAGUAUGUAAUUACAUUACGUUAAAAUAUGCGUAGAAUACGGUUCAGCGAAAAGUGAAGUAUCUUCACCCAAGUGCGAUAAAUUCCUGUGAAAAUGGCAAAAAAAAAAACAAAAUUGCAACAAAAAAAUAUUUUUUUAAUUUUCGAAACAAUUGUAACAGGAUACUGAAUAUUACAUAAUAUUAUCUUAAUUUUGAACUUAUUCUUCGAAUUAUGAAAGCUUAGGUCGCUUUAAUUUUGAUAAAUGUUUUGCAACAUCAAGAAAAUUUUUUUUAUCACAAUCAUCUUCUUCAGUCUUUUCUUUCAUAAUAUAAAACCAUAAAAAUAUCAAAAGGCAAACUUGAAACAAUUUAUAAACACGAUUUCUUGUAAACGGAUGUAAUAAAUACUCCAGAUGGCAGUUGCAAAUACCGAAGAGAAUUAAAAUAGAGUAUACACAAUCUAAAUAUUUCAAAUGAUUAAUUUGAUUUUCUACUAUAGCGAUAGUAAUUACAAGUGCAAUAUGUGUAAUGCGCCGCAUUUCUGCAAUUUUCAUAAAAUUAUUGAUGAAAUCUAAUACGAUUGUUUGUGUGAUCAAAGAAUUUAUAAUUACAAAAAUAUUAAUACUAAUACUGGUGCGGUGAGCUGUGACGUCUGUAAAACGGUUCGAUAAUUCGGACAGAAAAGCCAGCGGGAAAGACAUAUUCGGCCAGUUGGACAGCAUUUCGGAAACACCUAGAAAAAAUUCUCAUGUAUGAAAAUAUUUCAAAGAUGACUACUCUUUUGUCAAAUGAAAAGGAGUAGGCUCAGAGUACACUUACCGGUUACGAAAUUUGGUACUUCCAAUGCAGCUGCUACGCUUAUAAAUAAAAAUAAUAGCUUCAUUUUUAGUAAAAUAAAUCUUGACUUUCAAAUUUAUAUCAAUUUUGCUUUUAUCUUCGAUAUUUUGUUUUUGUCUUCGAUCAAAAGUUCAAUAUAGACAGCGAUUCCAACGGGAAAUAAUUUCUACUGUUUUUGUCGAAAACCUUAUGCAGAUCGAUCUGCGCAUGCACCAAUUACAGAGUAGUGUGUAAAGUUGACGUGUAUUUUGUAAGUUGUAGUGUUAUUGGUGCAUGCGCAGAUGGAUUUGUUUAAGGUUUCAAAUUGACAGUGUUUGCGACUAAAAAAGUUGAAGGAUUUCGCGUUGGAAUAGCAGCCUAUCACCAGCGACCUUUGCUGAGCUUUUGAAAGCUCAAACCAGUCGCUGAUGACGUUUUGACGAUUUUUGACCAAUCAGAAACGAGUAUUGAAUCAAGAGAUUUUUCAUUUUUUUAAAAUUCAGUUUUUCGCACUACAACCUCGAUAUUCGAAUCACUAGGUACGCUUGAUUUCCACGUAUGUCUCAACGUGAUGGCUAAAUUCUGCAACGUCGAGAUUCAAACAACCGAAGAUCAUUUUACCAUCGUAGAUUUCAUCGUAUCCAAAGAAAUAUCCAUCGAUAUUCGUGCCAAAACUCAUCGUAACCGUAACUUUGAUCUAUUUAGAUUCGUUUGAAAACGCCAAAUAAAAAUAGACAUCUUGCUCAAAGAGAACCCAGAUAUCAUAGGCGAUCUAUUCUUCGACGUAGCCAUGAAGUUGAUGGACAAAGGUCAGUUCGAAGACUCGGAUCACGGUACUCGAACCUCUCACACAUACUGAAACUUUCAACUCGGUUACGUUAUGGUUCAAGUUGACCCACCGCUACAAAGAAACCAAUAAAAUCAAAGAAUGUCACAAAGCAUUUCGUAGAACUCUACAAUGCCAUUCUGAAGAUGAAGAUCUCAAAUUGAAAUUUUGCGAAGAACUAAAAUCAGCUCAUUUGUACCAAGAAGCUAUCGAAUUAACGAAGAACGACGAUAUGAGCGCUUUGAUCUACGAACGAUGCAAUAUGUAUUACAUUACGAGAACUCCAUCGAAACCGGACUUCAAUUAUUUCGUUUACAUUGCAAAGAAAUCAAAACAAUCGAAGACGUUUGACUAAUUCAUUCAAAGAUGUAGUUUCAUCCUACGUUCCGAUCACAGUCGAUACUUCGGUUCCUGUCAAACAAGAAUGGGACAUAUUCGUUGAAAUAUUCGAUGUCUACACCGGUCGCAAAGAUUACGACCUUUUGCAACAACUCGCUCUGGAUUUAUCCCUUUCAUAUAAAUUCAACUCGGUCAAAGAUCAGCUCAAAUUAGCUGUGGGUAUCGCAUCGUUUCUCAGUAAAGAUUAUGAAAUAGCUUACGAUAUGAUGAGAUAUUUCAUACUACAAGUCAUCAAUAUCUUUUCAUGUAUUACUCAAGUUACAGCCGAAUACACAAGUUCUUAAUUUGUUACCUAAUGAAAGCUUCGGAGGAUAAAAUUUUGAUCAUAUGUAUUAUUUGCCAAUAACUGUUUAUCAGCUGGAACGUACAAGUAUACUCUGAACGAUUACAGUAUCUAUACCUAGUGUUUCAAGAAAAAGAAACCUCCUUGGUAGCGUUACUUUUGGCUGUCGUUUUACAUAUGUCGUUUCAGAAAUAGGCCACUAAGUAAUAGCCAUUCGUUUAUUUCCCAGUGUUUAGCCUUUCUGUAUAAAUAUCGAAAUUUGAUAGGCGAACCGAUGAAUCAAAAAAUGUAUUAUAAUUUCGCCAGAGCUUUUCAUCAACUUGAAUUACUUCCUCAAGCUGUACAUUAUUAUAAAAAAGCUUUAGAAUUUAAACCUGCGGUUAGCGAUGCAUACGAUUUAAAGGCAAAAAUCGCCUAUAAUUUGCACGUAAUUUAUAUAAUUUCCGGUUAACCUAGAGUUUCGAAUACAUAUGUGCUUACAGAAAUACGUUUGUUGUAUAAUUGUGUCAAGCUUUUUUUUAUGUAGGUAAGUAUAUAAAUAUAAAAUACAUGGAUCGUUCUAAA